rnacentral:rRNA from 1 species
GUCUUUUUGAUUUUAAUUUAAAGUCUAACCUGCCCAAUGAGGAGUUGAAUGGCCGCAGUAUUUUGACUGUGCAAAGGUAGCAUAAUCAUUAGUUUCUUAAUUAGGAGCUAGAAUGAAAGGUUGGACGAGAAAAUAACUGUCUCUUUAUAAAUUUUUUAGAAUUUUAUUUUUAAGUUAAAAAGCUUAAAUUUAUUUAAAAGACGAGAAGACCCUAUAGAGUUUUAUAUAUAAAUAAUGUAUUAAUUAAAUUUGAAUUUUUAUAAUUAAAUUUUAUUAUAUAUUUGAUUGGGGUGAUUAAAAAAUUUAAUUAACUUUUUUUUUAUAUAAACAUUAAUAUAUGAUUUAUUGAUCCAUAAUUUUAUGAUUAAAAGAUUAAAUUACCUUAGGGAUAACAGCGUAAUUUUUUUGAAGAGUUCUAAUCGAUAAAAAAGUUUGCGACCUCGAUGUUGGAUUAAAAUUUAUUUUUGGUGUAGAAGCUAAAAAAUUAGGUCUGUUCGACCUUUAAAAUUUUACAUGAUCUGAGUUUAAACCGGUGUGAGCCAGGUUGGUUUCUAUCUUUAAAAGAUUUUUAUAUUUUAGUACGAAAGGACCAAAUAUAAAUAAUAAUUAU